rnacentral:rRNA from 1 species
UCUNGGUGAUCCUGCCGGACCCGACUGCUAUCAGAGUGGGACUAAGCCAUGCGAGUUGACGUAGUAAUACGUAGCGAACGGCUCAGUAACACGUAGUCAACAUGCCCAGGGGACGUGGAUAACCUCGGGAAACUGAGAAUAAACCGCGAUAGGUCACAAUUUCUGGAAUGGAUUUUGGCUUAAAUCUACAUGGCCCCUGGAUUGGACUGCGGCCGAUCAGGCUGUUGGUGAGGUAAUGGCCUACCAAACCUGUAACCGGUACGGGCUCUGAGAGGAGGAGCCCGGAGAUGGGCACUGAGACAAGGGCCCAGGCCCUAUGGGGCGCAGCAGGCGCGAAACCUCUGCAAUGGGCGAAAGCCUGACAGGGUUACUCUGAGUGAUUUCCGCUAAGGGGAUCUUUUGACACCUCUAAAAAUGGUGUAGAAUAAGGGGUGGGCAAGUCUGGUGUCAGCCGCCGCGGUAAUACCAGCACCCCGAGUGGUCGGGACGAUUAUUGGGCCUAAAGCAUCCGUAGCCGGUUCUGCAAGUCUUCCGUUAAAUCCAGCCGCUCAACGGAUGGGCUGCGGAAGAUACUAUAGGACUAGGAGGCGGGAGAGGCAAGCGGUACUCAGUGGGUAGGGGUAAAAUCCUUUGAUCCAUUGAAGACCACCAGUGGCGAAGGCGGCUUGCCAGAACGCGCUCGACGGAGAGGGAUGAAAGCUGGGGGAGCAAACCGGAUUAGAUACCCGGGUAGUCCCAGCUGUAAACGAUGCAGACUCGGUGAUGGGCCAGCCUUGUGCUAGCCCAGUGCCGCAGGGAAGCCGUUAAGUCUGCCGCCUGGGGAGUACGGUCGCAAGACUGAAACUUAAAGGAAUUGGCGGGGGAGCACCACAAGGGGUGAAGCCUGCGGUUCAAUUGACUCAACGCCGGGACUGCAGGCUCAAGCUGCCUGCUUUCCCC